rnacentral:rRNA from 1 species
AUGCACACACACACACACACACACACAUAUAUAUAUACAAUUUCUCCUGCAAUUUGCAGAUCAUUACAUGCAUGCAUUAGGUGUAAUGGUAUUCUCCUUCGGGAUCUAUGA